AUGAACGCUAGCGACAGGCUUAACACAUGCAAGUCGAGGGGCAGCGGGGUGUAGCAAUACACCGCCGGCGACCGGCGCACGGGUGAGUAACGCGUAUGCAACUUGCCUAUCAGAGGGGGAUAACCCGGCGAAAGUCGGACUAAUACCGCAUGAAGCAGGGGCCCCGCAUGGGGAUAUUUGCUAAAGAUUCAUCGCUGAUAGAUAGGCAUGCGUUCCAUUAGGCAGUUGGCGGGGUAACGGCCCACCAAACCGACGAUGGAUAGGGGUUCUGAGAGGAAGGUCCCCACAUUGGUACUGAGACACGGACCAAACUCCUACGGGAGGCAGCAGUGAGGAAUAUUGGUCAAUGGGCGCGAGCCUGAACCAGCCAAGUCGCGUGAGGGAUGAAGGUUCUAUGGAUCGUAAACCUCUUUUAUAAGGGAAUAAAGUGCGGGACGUGUCCCGUUUUGUAUGUACCUUAUGAAUAAGGAUCGGCUAACUCCGUGCCAGCAGCCGCGGUAAUACGGAGGAUCCGAGCGUUAUCCGGAUUUAUUGGGUUUAAAGGGUGCGUAGGCGGCCUUUUAAGUCAGCGGUGAAAGUCUGUGGCUCAACCAUAGAAUUGCCGUUGAAACUGGGGGGCUUGAGUAUGUUUGAGGCAGGCGGAAUGCGUGGUGUAGCGGUGAAAUGCUUAGAUAUCACGCAGAACCCCGAUUGCGAAGGCAGCCUGCCAAGCCAUGACUGACGCUGAUGCACGAAAGCGUGGGGAUCAAACAGGAUUAGAUACCCUGGUAGUCCACGCAGUAAACGAUGAUCACUAGCUGUUUGCGAUACAGUGUAAGCGGCACAGCGAAAGCGUUAAGUGAUCCACCUGGGGAGUACGCCGGCAACGGUGAAACUCAAAGGAAUUGACGGGGGCCCGCACAAGCGGAGGAACAUGUGGUUUAAUUCGAUGAUACGCGAGGAACCUUACCCGGGUUUGAACGCAUUCGGACCGAGGUGGAAACACCUUUUCUAGCAAUAGCCGUUUGCGAGGUGCUGCAUGGUUGUCGUCAGCUCGUGCCGUGAGGUGUCGGCUUAAGUGCCAUAACGAGCGCAACCCUUGCCACUAGUUACUAACAGGUGAUGCUGAGGACUCUGGUGGGACUGCCAGCGUAAGCUGCGAGGAAGGCGGGGAUGACGUCAAAUCAGCACGGCCCUUACAUCCGGGGCGACACACGUGUUACAAUGGCGUGGACAAAGGGAGGCCACCUGGCGACAGGGAGCGAAUCCCCAAACCACGUCUCAGUUCGGAUCGGAGUCUGCAACCCGACUCCGUGAAGCUGGAUUCGCUAGUAAUCGCGCAUCAGCCAUGGCGCGGUGAAUACGUUCCCGGGCCUUGUACACACCGCCCGUCAAGCCAUGGGAGCCGGGGGUACCUGAAGUCCGUAACCGAAAGGAUCGGCCUAGGGUAAAACUGGUGACUGGGGCU
rnacentral:rRNA from 1 species